rnacentral:misc_RNA from 1 species
GAUGAAGAACGCAGCGAAAUGCGAUACGUAAUGUGAAUUGCAGAAUUCAGUGAAUCAUCGAAUCUUUGAACGCAUAUUGCGCUCUCUGGUAUUCCGGAGAGCAUGCUUGUUUGAGUAUCAGUAAACACCUCAACUUCCAUAUCUUUUUUGAAAUGGGAGUUGGACUUGAGUGAUCCCAACGCUUUUCCUCACCGAAAAGUGGCGGGUUACUUGAAAUGCAGGUGCAGCUGGACUUUUCUCUGAGCUAUAAGCAUAUCUAUUUAGUCUGCCUAAAAAACAGAUUAAUACCUUUGCUGCAGCUAACAUAAAGGAGAUUAGUUCUUGUGCUGACUGAUGCAGGAUUCACAAAGACAGGCUUCGGCCGACUUUGUAAACUCGAUCUCAAAUCAAGUAAGACUACCCGCUGAACUUAAGCAUAUCAAUAAGCGGAGGA